GAUAUUCUUCGUUAGGUGAGGCUUCUGCAUAGAGCAUACGCCACUGCCCAGAAAUGUCGAGAGACGCUAAUGGGUUAACAGGUAUUACCGGCAUAAGGUUUUACUUAAUGUGGCUGGGUAUAACCCUAGCUGUGUACGUGCCAAAACUCAGACGAGUGGAGAAAGGC
rfam:Peptococcaceae bacterium CEB3 CEB3_contig000058, whole genome shotgun sequence.